GAGGGUAUAGCUCAGUGGUAGAAUGCGUGCCUUGCAAGCUCGAGGUCCUGGGUUCAAUCCCCAGUACCUCCA
rnacentral:tRNA from 1 species